rnacentral:rRNA from 1 species
UCUUGGUCAUUUAGAGGAAGUAAAAGUCGUAACAAGGUUUCCGUAGGUGAACCUGCGGAAGGAUCAUUAACGAGUUGCAAGUCGGUCGACCGUGCUGGCGGAAACGCACGUGCACGUCGGUCGCAAACCUCAUCCACACCACCUGUGAACGUAUGGCCUUUGGGUCUCUCGACCCGGGGGCAAACCCUUUUUUACCCACUCUUUUGUAAAAGAAUGUCAUAUGUGCGUAACGCAUAAAUGAACAACUUUCAACAACGGAUCUCUUGGCUCUCGCAUCGAUGAAGAACGCAGCGAAAUGCGAUAAGUAAUGUGAAUUGCAGAAUUCAGUGAAUCAUCGAAUCUUCGAACGCACCUUGCACCCUUUGGUAUUCCGAAGGGUACGCCCGUUUGAGUGUCAUUGUAAUCUCACCCCCGGAAAUUUUUUUGGGAGUGGACUUGGACGUUGCCGUGCCACGGCUCGUCUCGAAGGUCUCAGUGUGACCCGUUUGCAGGCGUCUACAGUGUGAUAGGUAUCUUCACUGUGUUGGUCUCUUCGGAGGCGCGCUCUCGGACGUGGGCUUCUACGCUGCCAACCGUCUUCGGACAAUCUCUGACGAUUUGACCUCAAAUCGGGUGGGACUACCCGCUGAACUUAAGCAUAUCAAUAAGCGGAGGAA